rnacentral:ncRNA from 1 species
AUAAAGUUUUAUUCUUGCUUAUUUAUUCAUUUUUUAUUUAUGUUAUAUGUAAGUUUUUGUUAAACUAAAUGUUCUAUUUUGCAGUGAUUUAAUUUAAUUAUCAAGUAAUUUUGGAAUUAGUAAUUGAUUUAGUAUUGGCAUAUUUCGUGCCAGCAGCCGCGGUUAUACGAUUAAUACAAUUGAAUAUUUUUGGUUAAAGCAGUUAUUUAUUAUUAGGAUUUAAAUAUUUAUUUUUAAGGUGAAAUUUAAAGUUUUUUUAUGAUUCUUAUUAUUAUUCUGUGAAAUUUAAUUAUUAAACUAGGAUUAGAUACCCUAUUAUUUUGAAUGUUAAUUUUUUACCUGGGUAUUAUUAGUUAUAUUCUUUAAACCCAAAGAAUUUGGCGGUAUCUUAUACCAUUUAGAGGAACCUGUCCCGUAAUUGAUAGUACACGAUUAACUUUACUUAAUUUAUUUAUUUGUAUAUCUCCGUUAUCAGAAAAUCUUUUUAAAGUUGUAAUUUUCUGGAUUUAUAAUUUUAAAUUAUUUCAGGUCAAGGUGCAGUUUAUAGUUAAGUGGAGAUGGGUUACAAUAUAUUUUUUUUAUAUUAUGGAUUUAAUUUUGGAACUUUUUAAUGAAGGUGGAUUUAAUAGUAAUUUGAUUUAUUUAAUUUAAGUGAUAUUGGCUCUUGGGUGUGUACACAUCGCCCGUCACUCUCAUUAUUAAUUUAAUUUAUUUAUUUUUAUUAAUUUAGAUGAGAUAAGUCGUAACAUAGUAGAUGUACUGGAAAGUGUAUCUAGUAAGAU